rnacentral:rRNA from 1 species
UACGUAGGGUGCGAGCGUUAAUCGGAAUUACUGGGCGUAAAGCGUGCGCAGGCGGUGAUGCAAGGCAGAUGUGAAAUCCCCGGGCUCAACCUGGGAACUGCAUUUGUGACUGCAUCGCUGGAGUGCGGCAGAGGGGGAUGGAAUUCCGCGUGUAGCAGUGAAAUGCGUAGAUAUGCGGAGGAACACCGAUGGCGAAGGCAAUCCCCUGGGCCUGCACUGACGCUCAUGCACGAAAGCGUGGGGAGCAAACAGG